UACGGAGGGUGCAAGCGUUAUCCGGAUUUACUGGGUUUAAAGGGUGCGUAGGUGGGUAGGUAAGUCAGUGGUGAAAUCUUCGAGCUUAACUCGGAAACUGCCAUUGAUACUAUCUGUCUUGAAUACUUUGGAGGUAAGCGGAAUAUGUCAUGUAGCGGUGAAAUGCUUAGAUAUGACAUAGAACACCAAUUGCGAAGGCAGCUUACUACACAGUCAUUGACACUGAGGCACGAAAGCGUGGGGGGAUCAAACAGG
rnacentral:rRNA from 1 species